CCCAGUUGGAGGAAAAUGUCGGAUUGGGGCCCAGUGUUCGUGGCAGUGGUGCUGUUCGUGCUCUUAACUCCUGGGUUGCUGUUUCAGGUUCCAGGGCGCCACCGGUGCGUCGAGUUUGGGAAUUUCCAGACCAGUGGUGCUUCUAUUAUGAUCCAUUCUCUGCUUUAUUUCGCUCUUGUUUGUGUCUUCUUCCUGGCUGUUAAGGUUCACUUGUACCUUGGUUAGUAACGUUGGUGCUGGCCCAAGUUGCUUGCUAGUGAGGGUAGUGAAUAAUUACAAGAUGUUUUCUUUUA
rnacentral:misc_RNA from 1 species